GAUGAACGCUAGCUACAGGCUUAACACAUGCAAGUCGAGGGGUAACGAGAGGAAAGCUUGCUUUCCUUGUCGACGACCGGCGCACGGGUGAGUAACGCGUAUCCAACCUGCCCCCAACUAGGGAAUAACCUUGCGAAAGUAAGACUAAUACCCUAUAAUUUCCUCAGAUGACAUCUGACGAGGAAUAAAGAUUUAUCGGUUGUGGAUGGGGAUGCGUCUGAUUAGCUUGUUGGCGGGGUAACGGCCCACCAAGGCAACGAUCAGUAGGGGUUCUGGGAGGAAGGUCCCCCUCAUUGGAACUGAGACACGGUCCAAACUCCUACGGGAGGCAGCAGUGAGGAAUAUUGGUCAAUGGGCGGAAGCCUGAACCAGCCAAGUAGCGUGCAGGAUGACGGCCCUAUGGGUUGUAAACUGCUUUUAUACAGGAAUAAAGUUAGCCACGUGUGGUUAUUUGUAGGUACUGUAUGAAUAGGGACCGGCUAAUUCCGUGCCAGCAGCCGCCGUAA
rnacentral:rRNA from 1 species